UUACCCGCAGGAAGAAAGCACCCGGCUUAAUUUCCGUUCCAGCAGCCGCGGUAAUUACGAAGGGGGCAAGCGUUUAUUGGGAAUUACUGGGCGUUAAAAGCGCCCGCAAGGCGGUCUGGUCAAGUCGAAUUGUGAAAUCCCCGGGGCUCAACCUGGGAACCGGCUUUCGAAACUGGCAGGCUAGAGUUCUUGUAGAGGGGGGUAGAAUUCCAGGGUGUAGCGGUAAAAUGCGUAGAGAUCUGGAGGAAUUACCGGUGGCGAAAGGCGGCCCCCUGGACAAAGACUGACGCUCAGGUGCGAAAGCGUGGGGAGCAAACAGGAUUUAGAUACCCUGGUAGUCCACGCCGUAAACGAUGUCGACUUGGAGGUUGUGCCCUUGAGGCGUGGCUUCCGGAACUAACGCGUUAAGUCGACCGCCUGGGGAGUACGGCCGCAAGGUUAAAACUCAAAUGAAUUGACGGGGGGCCGCACAAGCGGUGGAGCAUGUGGUUUAAUUCGAUGCAACGCGAAGAACCUUACCUACUCUUGACAUCCAGAGAACUUAGCAGAGAUGCUUUGGUGCCUUCGGGAACUCUGAGACAGGUGCUGCAUGGCUAUAGUCAGCUCGUGUUGUGAAAUGUUGGGUUAAGUCCCGCAACGAGCGCAACCCUUAUCCUUUGUUGCCAGCGGUCCGGCCGGGAACUCAAAGGAGACUGCCAGUGAUAAACUGGAGGAAGGUGGGGAUGACGUCAAGUCAUCAUGGCCCUUACGAGUAGGGCUACACACGUGCUACAAUGGCGCAUACAAAGAGAAGCGACCUCGCGAGAGCAAGCUGUCCUCAUAAAGUGCGUCGUAGUACGGAUUGAAGUCUGCACCUCGACUCC
rnacentral:rRNA from 1 species